UACGUGCCAGCAGCCGCGGUAAUACGUAGGGAGCGAGCGUAUCCGGAUCAUUGGGCGUAAAGCGCGCGUAGGCGGCUCGGGAAGCGGAACCUCUAACCUUGGGGCUCACCUCAAGCCGGGUUCCGAACUCCCGGGCUCGAGUCAGGUAGGGGCAGGCGGAAUUCCCGUGUAGCGGUGAAAUGCGCAGAUAUCGGGAGGAACACCGAUGGCGAAGGCAGCCUGCUGGCCUAAAGACUGACGCUGAGGUGCGAAAGCGUGGGGAGCGAACAGGAUUAGAUACCCUGUAGUCCACGCCGUAAACGAUGGGCGCUAGGUGUGGGGGAGCGUAUCCCCCGUGCCGCAGUAACGCAUUAAGCGCCCCGCCUGGGGAGUACGGCCGCAAGGCUAAAACUCAAAGGAAUUACGGGGGCCCGCACAAGCAGCGGAGCAUGUGGCUUAAUUCGAAGCAACGCGAAGAACCUACCAGGGCUUGACAUGCGCAUGAAGCGGCGGAGACGCCGUGGCCGAGAGGAGUGCGCGCGGUGGUGCAUGGCUGUCGUCAGCUCGUGUCGUGAGAUGUUGGGUUAAGUCCCGCAACGACGCAACCCCUGCCGUAUGUUGCCAGCAUUCAGUUGGGGACUCAUAUGGGACUGCCGGCGCAAGCCGGAGGAAGGUGGGGAUGACGUCAAGUCAUCAUGCCCCUUAUGCCCUGGGCUGCCACGUGCUACAAUGGCCGGUACAGAGGGUUGCCACUCGGCGACGAGGAGCGGAUCCCCCAAGCCGGUCCCAGUUCGGAUCGCAGGCUGCAACCCGCCUGCGUGAAGCCGGAGUUGCUAUAAUCGCGGAUCAGCAUGCCGCGGUGAAUACGUUCCCGGGCCUUGCACACACCGCCCGU
rnacentral:rRNA from 1 species